rnacentral:rRNA from 1 species
UACGGGGGGGGCAAGCGUUGUUCGGAAUUACUGGGCGUAAAGGGCUCGUAGGCGGCCAACUAAGUCAGACGUGAAAUCCCUCGGCUUAACCGGGGAACUGCGUCUGAUACUGGAUGGCUUGAGUCCGGGAGAGGGAUGCGGAAUUCCAGGUGUAGCGGUGAAAUGCGUAGAUAUCUGGAGGAACACCGGUGGCGAAGGCGGCAUCCUGGACCGGCACUGACGCUGAUGAGCGAAAGCCAGGGGAGCAAACAGG